UGAUCCUGGCUCAGAGCGAACGCUGGCGGCAGGCCUAACACAUGCAAGUCGAACGGACCCUUCGGGGUUAGUGGCGGACGGGUGAGUAACACGUGGGAACGUGCCUUUAGGUUCGGAAUAGCUCCUGGAAACGGGUGGUAAUGCCGAAUGUGCCCUUCGGGGGAAAGAUUUAUCGCCUUUAGAGCGGCCCGCGUCUGAUUAGCUAGUUGGUGAGGUAAUGGCUCACCAAGGCGACGAUCAGUAGCUGGUCUGAGAGGAUGACCAGCCACACUGGGACUGAGACACGGCCCAGACUCCUACGGGAGGCAGCAGUGGGGAAUCUUGCGCAAUGGGCGAGAGCCUGACGCAGCCAUGCCGCGUGAAUGAUGAAGGUCUUAGGAUUGUAAAAUUCUUUCACCGGGGACGAUAAUGACGGUACCCGGAGAAGAAGCCCCGGCUAACUUCGUGCCAGCAGCCGCGGUAAUACGAAGGGGGCUAGCGUUGCUCGGAAUUACUGGGCGUAAAGGGCGCGUAGGCGGAUCGUUAAGUCAGAGGUGAAAUCCCGGAGCUCAACUUCGGAACUGCCUUUGAUACUGGCGAUC
rnacentral:rRNA from 1 species